AGAGAGCUUGCUCUCUGGGUGACGAGCGGCGGACGGGUGAGUAAUGUCUGGGAAACUGCCUGAUGGAGGGGGAUAACUACUGGAAACGGUAGCUAAUACCGCAUAACGUCUUCGGACCAAAGUGGGGGACCUUCGGGCCUCACGCCAUCAGAUGUGCCCAGAUGGGAUUAGCUAGUAGGUGGGGUAAUGGCUCACCUAGGCGACGAUCCCUAGCUGGUCUGAGAGGAUGACCAGCCACACUGGAACUGAGACACGGUCCAGACUCCUACGGGAGGCAGCAGUGGGGAAUAUUGCACAAUGGGCGCAAGCCUGAUGCAGCCAUGCCGCGUGUGUGAAGAAGGCCUUCGGGUUGUAAAGCACUUUCAGCGAGGAGGAAGGGUUCAGUGUUAAUAGCACUGUACAUUGACGUUACUCGCAGAAGAAGCACCGGCUAACUCCGUGCCAGCAGCCGCGGUAAUACGGAGGGUGCAAGCGUUAAUCGGAAUUACUGGGCGUAAAGCGCACGCAGGCGGUUUGUUAAGUCAGAUGUGAAAUCCCCGCGCUUAACGUGGGAACUGCAUUUGAAACUGGCAAGCUAGAGUCUUGUAGAGGGGGGUAGAAUUCCAGGUGUAGCGGUGAAAUGCGUAGAGAUCUGGAGGAAUACCGGUGGCGAAGGCGGCCCCCUGGACAAAGACUGACGCUCAGGUGCGAAAG
rnacentral:rRNA from 2 species